rnacentral:rRNA from 1 species
GGCGCACGGGUGAGUAACGCGUGGGUAACCUGCCCUGUACACACGGAUAACAUACCGCAAGGUAUGCUAAUACGGGAUAAUAUAUAAAGGUCGCAUGGCUUUUAUAUCAAAGCUCCGGCGGUACAGGAUGGACCCGCGUCUGAUUAGCUAGUUGGUAAGGUAACGGCUUACCAAGGCGACGAUCAGUAGCCGACCUGAGAGGGUGAUCGGCCACACUGGAACUGAGACACGUCCCAGCCCCCUACGGGAGGCAGCCGUGGGGAAUAUUGCACAAUGGCCGAAAGCCUGAUGCAGCAACGCCGCGUGAGCGAUGAAGGCCUUCGGGUCGUAAACUCCUGUCAGUUGGGACGAAAAGCCGUCGGUCAAUAGCCGGCGGUCAUGACGGUACCAGCAGAGGAAGCCCCGGCUAACUCCGUGCCAGCAGCAGCGG